GGGAUCUGAAAGAGACGACUGACUGAGGUGGUUGAUGGGAUUCUUACAGGUACAUAUUUAUGACCAGAAAUAUCCCUUGGGAGAUGUAAGAUGUUGAUGUGAAAAUAAUGGCUUUGCCAGUAGAAGGCUUUCACCCAGUCAUCUCCUCUGCCACUUUCUUCUCGCUGAAACUCGAAGUGGAGUGUGGCACCUGAACUGUAGGUGUACCAGAUACUCCAGAUGGCGAAAAGGUACAGCUGAUGUGGGAGGUGUUUUUGAGCCAGCCCCUCUUCAGCCACAUAGACUAGCAACAAAGCACCAUCUUGGAAGCAGAGAGCCGCCCUCACCAGAACUGAAUGCAGGCACCAUGACCUUGAACUUCCCAGCCUCCGGACCUGUGGCCUUUCAAAAAUGUUAUCUACAUCAUAAAAGUGUUGCUGAUAUUCAAUGAAAUAUUCCAUAUGAAACCCCUCACAAAGGACCGGGAACAUAGUAAGUCUAAAUACAUGUUUGUUUCCAUUCCUCCACCAUUUUCCUUUAUAAGAUGAAGUGAGAAAUUGUGUGCUCCCUGGGAAAUGACUAUCUGCAGAGGCUUGUGGCAUUCUACUUUCUGGAUAUAUUGCCUUAUGCCUGGCAAACUGUACUGAUUAAAAGUUCCAACAGAAGAAGAAAAAACUAAUUUGGAAGGGCUAAUCAAGACUCUCCAUAGUCCAAAAAGGAUGAUUUCCCAGUUGUGCAGAGAACCAAUAAACCUCCAUCCUGAAGACAAAAGUAAUUUUAUGAAGCUGCAUGAGGUUUCUCUAGAGAGAGUGAUUUCACAAAGCCCAGUGGUCACAGCUGUGCAGUGGAACCAAACUACUUUGAAUCUCUGCCAUCAAAGGAAAGAAUCUCAGGAUUUUCUGUUACAGAAGCAUGAUCGUGUUUAAAUUCUUAAAAUGCUGCAUUAGCAAGAAUUCUCCACAGAAACAGACUCUCUCUCUAGAGUUGAGAGAGAGAGAAAGAGAGAGUUAAUAUAGGAAUUGCCUCAAGGGACAAUGGAGGCCAAGAAGUUCCAGAAUCUGACAUCUGCAAGCCAGCAAACAAAGAAAGCCAAUGAUGUAAUUUAGUCUGAAUUCAAAGGCCCAAGAGUGGAGGUAUAGAUGGUGUAAGUCCUGAUCUGAGUCUAAAGGCCCAAUAACCAGGAACACUCAUGUUAACAGAAGAUGAAUAGGCCAGGUGCGGUGGCUCACACCUUUAAUCCCAGCACUUUGGGAGGCUGAGGCAGGCAGAUCACUUGAGGCCAGGAGUUUGAGACCAGCUUGAUCAACAUGGUGAAACCCUGUCUCACUAAAAAUACAAAAAUUAGCUAGACAUGGUGGUGUGUGCCUGUAGUCCCAGCUACUCGGGAGGCUGAGCCACAAGAAUGAACCUGAGAGGCAGAGGUUGCAGUGAACUGAGGUCGUGCCACUGCACUCCAGUGUGGGCGACAGAGCAAGAAGGAAAAAAAAGAGAGGAAGACGAAUGUCUCGGCUCCAUAAGGAAAGAGAAAAUAUGUUGUUCUGAAGUUUUGUUCUAUUUGUGUUCUCAAUAAAUUGGAUGGUACCUACUC
rnacentral:lncRNA from 1 species